UACGUAGGGUGCGAGCGUUAAUCGGAAUUACUGGGCGUAAAGCGUGCGCAGGCGGUUAUGCAAGACAGAUGUGAAAUCCCCGGGCUCAACCUGGGAACUGCAUUUGUGACUGCAUGGCUGGAGUGCGGCAGAGGGGGAUGGAAUUCCGCGUGUAGCAGUGAAAUGCGUAGAGAUGCGGAGGAACACCGAUGGCGAAGGCAGCCCCCUGGGCUAACACUGACGCUCAGGCACGAAAGCGUGGGGAGCAAACAGG
rnacentral:rRNA from 1 species